AGCGAACGUUUGCGGCGGGCUUAACACAUGCAAGUCGAACGAGAAUCCCUUCGGGGAGGAAAGUGGCGCACGGGUGCGUAACACGUGGAUAACCAACCCAUUGGUUUGGGACAACACCGGGAAACUGGUGCUAAUACCAGAUGUGUCGCAGCUGUCUUCAGGCGGUUGCGAGAAAGGCCCGCAAGGGUCGCCAACGGACGGGUCCGCGUCCCAUCAGCUAGUUGGUGAGGUAAUGGCUCACCAAGGCAAAGACGGGUAGCUGGUCUGAGAGGAUGAUCAGCCACACUGGAACUGAGACACGGUCCAGACUCCUACGGGAGGCAGCAGUGGGGAAUAUUGCGCAAUGGGCGAAAGCCUGACACAGCCACGCCGCGUGAGCGAUGAAGGUCUUCGGAUCGUAAAGCUCUGUGGGGGGAGAAGAAGAAAGCCGGUGAAGAGCCGGCCCUGACGGUAUCCCCUUAGCAAGCACCGGCUAACUCCGUGCCAGCAGCCGCGGUAAAG
rnacentral:rRNA from 1 species